rnacentral:rRNA from 1 species
UACGUAGGGGGCAAGCGUUGUCCGGAUUUAUUGGGCGUAAAGAGCGUGUAGGCGGUUUGGUAGGUCCGCUGUGAAAACUCGAGGCUCAACCUCGAGACGCCGGUGGAAACCAUCAGACUAGAGUCCGGAAGAGGAGAGUGGAAUUCCUGGUGUAGCGGUGAAAUGCGCAGAUAUCAGGAAGAACACCGGUGGCGAAGGCGGGUCUCUGGGCCAUUACUGACGCUGAGGAGCGAAAGCGUGGGGAGCGAACAGG